rnacentral:rRNA from 1 species
UACGUUCCCGGACCUUGUACACACCGCCCGUCAAGCCAUGGAAGCCGGGGGUACCUGAAGAUGGUGACUUUACUGGGAGCUAUCUAAGGUAAAACUGGUGACUGGGGCU